GCCAGGCAUGGUGGCACACACCUAUAAUCCCAGCAACUCAGGAGGCUGAGACAGGAGGAUUGCAAGUUUGAGACCAGCCUCAGAAACUUAGCAAGACUCUGUCUCAG
rnacentral:sRNA from 1 species